GAUGAACGCUGGCGGCGUGCCUAAUACAUGCAAGUCGAGCGAACAGACGCGGAGCUUGCUCCUCUGACGUUAGCGGCGGACGGGUGAGUAACACGUGGAUAACCUACCUAUAAGACUGGGAUCACUUCGGGACACCGGAGCUAAUACCGGAUAAUAUAUUGAACCGCAUGGUUCAAUAGUGAAAGACGGUUUUGCUGUCACUUAUAGAUGGAUCCGCGCCGCAUUAGCUAGUUGGUAAGGUAACGGCUUACCAAGGCGACGAUGCGUAGCCGACCUGAGAGGGGGGUCGGCGGCCCGGGAACGUGAACAGGGACCAGACGCCUACGGGAGGGAGCAGAAUGGAAUCCUACGCAAUGGGGGAAAGUCUGACGGAGCGACGCCGCGUGAGUGAUAAAGGUCUUGCGAUCGUAAAACUCUGUUAUGAGGGAAGAACAAAUGUGGAAGUAAAUAUGCACGUCUUGACGGUACUUAAUCAGAAAGCCACGGCUAACUACGUG
rnacentral:rRNA from 1 species